rnacentral:rRNA from 1 species
AUGCACUGCUAUGCAUGGUGGAAGCUAUGUACUCCAAAGAAGAUGGGAGGGAUGGGGUUUCGAGACCUUCACUCCUUUUAUUUGGCCAUGCUAGCAAAGCAGUGUUGGAGAUUCAUAACUAGUCCAGAUUCUCUAUGUGCUAAGGUGUUGCAUGCUAAGUACUAUCUGGAUGGCAAUUUAUUAUUGGUUGGCCCCAAAAAAGGAUCCUCUUUUACUUGGCAAAGUUUGGUAGUGGGGCUGCAAACUUUUAAAAGGGGCCAUAUUUGGCGCAUUGGUGAUGAUAGCAAGGUUGAUAUUUGGACUGGUCCGUGGAUUCCAUCUAGUCCAGACCGUCAUAUAAUAACUCCUUGGGGUCAAAUUUUAAUCUCCAAGGUACUGGACCUAAUUGAUUUGACAAAUGGAGAAUGGUAUGAAGAACUGAUUAGAGCUAUAUUCAGUCCAGCGGAUACUAGGAGGAUUCUCUAA